CCCAGUUUAAUUUUUUUUUGUCAUUGAUUGGGUCAUGACAAUAGAAAUGGCAUACAAUGGACCUGGUGACCUUAAUGGACCUAUUGGCAUCUGGCUCUUUUUUUUGUACACAACAAAGUGCUCAUACAAUGGACCUGUUGGUAUCUGCCUCCUCUCCCAUACACAACAAAGUGCUCAUACAAUGGUCCUGAUGGCACUUGCCUCCUCUCCAAUACACAACAAAGUGCUCAAACAAUAGACCUAAUGGCAUCUGUCUCCUCUCCCAUACUAACAAAGUGCUCAGGCCAAACUGAUCAGAGUGACAAAGAAGCAAACAAGACUGGACAACAAAAGAAAACUGAAGUUAUGAGAAUUAAUAACAAACAAGAGAGCCCAGGCAUACUAUAGGUGGAGAAAUCUAAGACCAUUUUGUUUGCCUAUCUGUGAAGUGGGGAUAAUCAAAACAGUGAAAUUAAAGACAAUAUAAGACAUUGCAUUGAUAAAGCUAGGUUUGCCUGUCAUUCCAAAGCACUUUCUUUAAAGAACAAGAACCAAAUUCUAACACAAAUGUAGAGAGUCAAAAGACAAAUAUAAAAAACUCAAGAUCUUUGCCAACAAGUGCCUAUGUUGGUUACUGAGAAUCAGGUGGUCCAAAAGACAUCUACUGUUAAAUUGUGAGAGAGAACUGAGCAGAAAAAAAAGUGUUAGGCUGUAACAGAUGUGGUAGAGGUCAGUCAUCAGUGAAGCUAAGGAUUAUGAAAUAAACUGGGAGCAGAUAAAGAAAGCUGCUCAGAAUAGACUUUGGCAGAUUGUUCUGGUUGCAGCUCUAUGCUCACCUGGGAUACACAGGAACAAGUCAAGCUAAGAAUUACAUAUGAAUUGGAUAAUAGUAUAAUAUUAAUGACAUUUGCUAACUUGAACAUUUGAUGUGGUGAUGGUAACUACAAUAGAUCUACAUCAGAUGUCUGACUUCUAUAAACUGAGUGGUUGAUAUGGAAACAGUAAUUGUCAUCAAUCUAAAUCAGAAUGUUGUGAACUAAGGAACAAGAGUUCUGAUGUCUGCUUACUGUACAGACAGUAGUUCAAGAGGACUAGAUCAGGUCAUGUAUUCACAUUUAUUAUCUCCCCUAGUUUUUAGUUUGUUUAAUAUGUUUCAGAUGAUCCUUCAGAUUUGAAGAGUAUUACAUCCCAGUUCAAACUUCUCACAGGAUGACUGGGGAUUUACCAAAUCCAGAGCACAUACCACAUGACCAGGCAGUCAUCCUAUACAUUAAAGUGUUGCAUGGGUCUCAUACAUUACACUUAAUUUCUUUUAUUUAUCAUUUAUAUUGUUAGAUGAUUCUGACCCAUUUAAACAUACAAUCUAAUGCUUGGUAAAUUGUAUUUCUUAGAAAUGUUCAUCCAUUAGUGUUAUCAUAUGCUGAGUUGUUUAUAAAUUACGAUAAUAUGAUGCCUUUAGUAGAAAACCUAACGUAAAAAUUUGUCAUAAACUAAUUUCUCAAUGAAAGCUUAAGAAUUACUCAGUAACAAUUAAAAUAUCGUGAGAUCAUUUAAAAGAAAUUAAUUUGGUACUAAUUAAAAAAGAAAAUAAAGUGAUUAUUAUAUGACAUUAGAAAUUAAACUUAAUAACAAUUAAAUAUAAUAUUAGACAAGUACUAUCAAGCACAAUAUUUAACCCUACCAGAUCUUAAAACCUAAACCAAAUUGUCCCCAAUGCUGGAGUUCCAGAGCCCCACUCCUUUAUUUCUUACUAUCCUUCUGGCUGUAAUAAAGUUAAAGGGACUGCUGUGACCAUGCCUUGUAUCAGGAAGAGGAGCCUCCUUCAUUUGAUACAUAUACCAAAGCACUUUUAAAAUUGAUGAAAGACAAUACAUCUUUAUUUUUCUCAAAUACAAUCUCUUUAUUUUUCUGAAAUACAAUCUCUUUAUUUUUCUCUUAUUCCAUUUUUAAUCCAGAUGUUUUCAUAACAGAUCCAUACAAUAACAAUAUUAUUUCUAAUUCAACUACAUCAGCUUACAAGCUUAACUUUUUAUCUAGUCAUUCUGACGGCUACAUAAAAUUCACCUUUUGAUGUCCCACCAUCAAACUUAAAUACUCUUUACAUGUCCUUCUAUGUAAUUUGUUUUCUUCAACCAACAAACCAAACAAUGUCUCCAACCAAUCAUACUUCAUUAAACUAAGAUUUGUUCAAGUUUGUACGCAUCAAGCAAUUUUACUUUACUUUCUUCUCCUAUGAACAUUUUGAGAGAUGACAUUGCUUCCUUAUACAGUGAUUCCCAAUGAACUUUGUUUAUACCUGUCAAAACAAGCAUUUUCUCAAUUGCUGUAAUCCUUGCUUUCCCAGCACCAGAAUUUCAGGCAGCCUCAUUGGUUUUCUAUUGUCCCAAACUUAGUGUUAAAUUAAACAAUAAAAUCUUGUAUUGGCUGAUCUUCACCCUGAUUAAAAUCUUAAAAUUUCUCAAAUUUUUAAAGAUAUCUGUAAGCUUGUUUUGUAUGGAGCUGUCUAGAAACUUCAUGAGAAUAUUAAAACCUAUCAUGCAUUUAAGAUCUGACAGUUGUACCUGUUCGAAUACUUACAUGCAUUUUUUAUUUGAUAGUAAGGAAAACACUUUGGCUCUCUCUUUUUUCUCUGAUUUCAGGUCAGUGAUACUAGUAGCUGUUGCAUUUACAAUUAAUAAUUCACAAUUGAAUUUUAUUUAUACAGUAACAUGCAACACACAAUAUUACAAUAUUAAUUCCCUUGCUAAGGGGAAUAAUUCUAAAAUGUGACAAAAUACACAUUUACACAAUAUCAUCUCCCUUAUUUACAGCUUUCUUUAAUUCCUUUCAAAAUUAUUGAAUGAAUCUUUUUUUUUUACUUUAAAAUGUGACUGCAAUACACAUAUAUACACUUAUGCACAAACAAACACAUAUAUACAUUAUACACACUUAAAACACAUACAAACAUCAUUUUUUCUUUUUAGCAAUGCAUAAAUACAGACUAUUUCAGCCCACUGACUCAACAAAUCAUACCCUUUAUUUUGGAAAUAUUCUCCUCAAAUUUAAAACAGUAACAGCUAGAUAAACUUGAAUGUGUGGAAGGAUAGUACUAACCAAUGAGCUCUUUAUAGAAACUCAUCAUCAUAAACAUUUUAUUUACAGUUCAUUUUAGUCAUAUAGUUACAUUAUCUUAUCUUAUUCAUUUAGUUAGAAUCAUCUUUUUCAUAUUGAAAUUUUCAUUUGCUUUAUGCAUUUAGGUAGAAUCAUCAUCAUAAUCAUUUUGAAACUACAUUUAUUUAAAUUGGCAUCAUAAUUUUAUAUUUCUAUUCACCAUUUAGUUUAAUUAUCAUCAUAAUCAUCAUAAUUAUCAUCUAGAGAUCUGGUAACUAUUAUUAUUCAUUUAGUUUUGUAUUGCCAGAAUGACAUUAUCAUUAUCCUGUGUUCUUUUUAAAAAUUCAUUUUGUUAGAUAUCGUAGAUGUUACCUAUA